CGCUCCGGCUCCUCUAUCUAUUUUGUGUCCAGCCGGAGCCGCGCACGAUGAUUCAUUGCCCCAAUUAGGGGCUCUCUCCAGCGCGCCAGGCUCAAGCCGUCUGAAGGGUCUCCUCAGGGACCGCCGAAACCCAUCAGCGGCUGGAGCUGGUCUUUAAGUAAAGGUCAAGCAGGACGCGGGAGGAGCCAGGUGAGGAAACUAAAGCACAGAGAGGUUAAGCUACUUGCCCAAGAUCACACAGCUAUGAAUGGAAGGAGCUGAUGUUGCAACCCGGGCUGUGCUGUGGAACAGGAGCCUGCACUCUGAGUGGUGCACUCCUUUGCCUACAGACUUUGGAAUUCAGAUCAAAAUCCGUCCCCCAUCCCUGUGUCUUCUCUGCAUGGCCCUAGGCCCAGGCGGGGUUCGAACCCACCAGCCCCUGUGCACGUGGCCAGCGCCCUAAGCGCUGAGUUAUGGGCACCGAGCCCGAAAUGCAGUCUUGACCUGUCAGUCAUGAGUGACCCACCCUGAGCCGCUGAGUCUCCACCCAGAGUAGAAGACCCUCACUUGAUGUUGAUGCUUUAAAUUCAAAGCACAGGCCAAGAACAUCCAGGAAAUGAAAGCCCUGGACAUGUCUGUCCACUCCGUCAAAAUCUCAUCACACCAGAGAGUUCCAGAAGUCAGCAUCACAUGGAUUUAGAGCUUUAGAACGGUCCCUGUGCCGGGGAUUACAUGACACAUCAGCAACCUAUGGAGCAGCGCUCUUCAUUAAACCGGUCGCAGUUUCUGUAGCAAAAUGCAAAACCCCCUGUCGAGUGGGGGGAAGGGAGGCCAUAAAGAGCCCCAUGUCUGUCCAGGGCAGAUAGUUGUGGCCAAACAAGUUACGUAAGGACUUGGCUUUUUUGA